rnacentral:RNase_P_RNA from 1 species
CCGGCCGGGCGAGCCGUCGCUCCCCGGGAAAUCGGGGGGAGGAAAGUCCGGGCUCCAAAGAAGCCAAGCCCCCUUAGCCGGGGGUCCGUUCGGUUUAAUCCGGGCGGAACGGAUAGUGCCGCAGAAAACAUACCGCCCCGUGCAACCGGGGUAAGGGUGAAAUGGCGAGGUAAGAGCUCACCGCGCUCCGGGUGACCGGGGCGGCAGGGAAAACCCGCUUGGGAGCAAGGCCGCGCAGCGGCGGGUGCUUCGCCCAAAGCCGCGGGUAGGCCGCUUGAGGUUUUUGGCAACAAAGACCCCAGAUGGAUGACGGCAUAGAACCAAACCCGGCUUACGGCCCGGCCGGUUGA